AUUGAACGCUGGCGGCAGGCCUAACACAUGCAAGUCGAACGAGUGGCGGACGGGUGAGUAAUGUCUGGGAAACUGCCUGAUGGAGGGGGAUAACUACUGGAAACGGUAGCUAAUACCGCAUACCAUCGGAUGUGCCCAGAUGGGAUUAGCUAGUUGGGUGGGUAACGGCUAACCAAGGAGACGAUACCUAGCUGGUCUGAGAGGAUGACCAGCCAAACUGGAACUGAGACACGGUCCAGACUCCUACGGGAGGCAGCAGUGGGGAAUAUUGCACAAUGGGCGCAAGCCUGAUGCAGCCAUGCCGCGUGUAUGAAGAAGGCCUUCGGGUUGUAAAGUACUUUCAGCGUGGAGGCGUUACCCGCAGAAGAAGCACCGGCUAACUCCGUGCCAGCAGCCGCGGUAAUAC
rnacentral:rRNA from 1 species